CUACGGGGGGCUCCAGUGGGGAAUAUUGCACAAUGGAGGAAACUCUGAUGCAGCAACGCCGCGUGGAGGAUGACACUUUUCGGAGCGUAAACUCCUUUUAUAUAGGAAGAAGAUGACGGUACUAUAUGAAUAAGCGCCGGCUAACUCCGUGCCAGCAGCCGCGGUAAUACGGAGGGCGCAAGCGUUACUCGGAAUCACUGGGCGUAAAGAGCGUGUAGGCGGAUUAAAAAGUCAGAAGUGAAAUCCUAUAGCUUAACUAUAGAACUGCUUCUGAAACUCUUAAUCUAGAAUAUGGGAGAGGUAGAUGGAAUUUCUGGUGUAGGGGUAAAAUCCGUAGAGAUCAGAAGGAAUACCGAUUGCGAAGGCGAUCUACUAGAACAUUAUUGACGCUAAGGCGUGAAAGCGUGGGGAGCAAACAGGAUUAGAUACCCCCGUAGUC
rnacentral:rRNA from 1 species